AACGAUAGAGCAGGCGGUCAAUGAUAUCCGCACGGUUGCCUUGCCUUCAGAAGAUGGAGAGGUUCUUAGCGUGUGGCUGCUAGCAGAAAUUGAUCACUGGAACAAUGAAAAAGAGAGACUGGUACUUAUAACUGAGAGGUCUUUGUUGGUGUGCAAAUAUGACUUCAUAAACCUCCAGUGUCAGCAGGUGGUCCGAAUUUCCCUGAACGCUGUGGACACGAUCUCAGUCGGCGAGUUUGAGUUUCCCCCCAAAUCCCUCAACAA